rnacentral:rRNA from 1 species
UACGUAGGGGGCAAGCGUUGUCCGGAUUUAUUGGGCGUAAAGAGCGUGUAGGCGGCCUGAAAGGUCAGCUGUGAAAACUCGAGGCUCAACCUCGAGACGUCGGUUGAAACCAUCUGGCUAGAGUCCGGAAGAGGAGUGUGGAAUUCCGAGUGUAGAGGUGAAAUUCGUAGAUAUUCGGAAGAACACCAGUGGCGAAGGCGACUUACUGGACACGUAUUGACGCUGAGGUGCGAAAGCGUGGGGAGCAAACAGG